GCUCGUGAGAGGAACUCAACUCCGGGUAACGCUAGACAUCGACCAGGAGCCGCGACUUAAAAAUUGCUUUGAUUUGCCUUUCCACUGGACUCCCGGAGCGACACGCUAACAGUGAAGCGGAUGACUCAGCUUUCUUCCGACUUCACGGACCUUGCAAGAAAAGUCCGAGACACGAGUCCUGUUGUGUCUCGAGAGAUUAUUCUUCGGAACACAAUUUUGGGUUGAUUGAAGGAAAUCGAAAAUCGUAAAUGCGUUUCGUGCCAAUUAUCUUGUUCACGAGAUUGUUUUUUCUCCUUUCAGAAUUAAGAACAAUUAUAGUAUCAAUUAAUCUCGAACGUGAGGGACUCGGUAUGAGAUGUGUUUAUGAAAGUGAUUGACAGACAAUUUAAAGAGUAAUGCAGAGUGAAGGAAAAAUGAAAGUCGUAAAAUAGGCUACAAAGGAACACAAAUUCCGUCCCACGGGAUGAAUCUGACAGUCCGCCACAGUCGCCGCAGAAACCAAAGACAGACGCUUUGUCCUGAGCAAUAGUUACUUCCUGUUUCGCGAGAUCUUUGGAAGUUGGAGUCGCUUGGGAGGCUCGUGUUAGGGGCGUGCGAGCGCCGCCAUGAGCUUCCGGAGUGUGAAG